GAUGAACGCUGGCGGCGUGCUUAACACAUGCAAGUCGAACGGGAAACCUUUUAAUGAAGCUUCGGCAGAUUUAGCUGGUUUCUAGUGGCGGACGGGUGAGUAACGCGUGGGUAACCUGCCUUAUACAGGGGGAUAACAGUCAGAAAUGACUGCUAAUACCGCAUAAGCGCACAGGACCGCAUGGUCCGGUGUGAAAAACUCCGGUGGUAUAAGAUGGACCCGCGUUGGAUUAGCUUGUUGGUGGGGUAACGGCUCACCAAGGCGACGAUCCAUAGCCGGCCUGAGGGGGUGAACGGCCACAUUGGGACUGAGACACGGCCCAGACUCCUACGGGAGGCAGCAGUGGGGAAUAUUGCACAAUGGGGGAAACCCUGAUGCAGCGACGCCGCGUGAAGGAAGAAGUAUCUCGGUAUGUAAACUUCUAUCAGCAGGGAAGAUAGUGACGGUACCUGACUAAGAAGCCCCGGCUAACUACGUG
rnacentral:rRNA from 1 species